rnacentral:rRNA from 1 species
AUACGGAGGGUGCAAGCGUUAAUCGGAAUUACUGGGCGUAAAGCGCACGUAGGUGGUUUGUUAAGCCAGCUGUGAUAUCCCCGGGCUCAACCUGGGCACUGCAGUUGGAACUGGCAAGCUAGAGUAGGGUAGAGGGGUGUGGAAUUCCAGGUGUAGCGGUGAAAUGCGUAGAUAUCUGGAGGAACAUCAGUGGCGAAGGCGACACCCUGGACUCAUACUGACACUGAGGUGCGAAAGCGUGGGGAGCAAACAGGAUUAGAAACCCUAGUAGUCC